rnacentral:rRNA from 1 species
UACGUAGGGUGCAAGCGUUGUCCGGAAUUAUUGGGCGUAAAGAGCUCGUAGGCGGUCUGUCGCGUCUGCUGUGAAAACUCAGGGCUUAACCCUGAGCUUGCAGUGGGUACGGGCAGACUAGAGUGCGGUAGGGGAGACUGGAAUUCCUGGUGUAGCGGUGAAAUGCGCAGAUAUCAAGAGGAACACCGGAGGGGAAGACGGGUUGCUGGGCCGACACUGACGAUGAGUGCGCGAAAGCCAGGGGAGCAAACGGG